AUGUGGCACACGUUUGAUUAUAUGACUGCAUCGGGGCCCUAGAUGGCACCCAUAUACCAGCUUAUGUGUCAAGAGAAAUGAGCUCAACUUUUAGAAAUAGGAAAGGAUAUCUCUCUUAAAAUGUUCUUGCUGCAUGUACGUUUGAUAUGAAAUUUGUAUAUGUGCUUGCUGGUUGGGAUGGAUCUGCAUCCGAUGCACGUGUCUUGCAAAAUGCAUUAACUCGUCGUCCUGAUUGUUUUCUUAUUCCUCACGAAAAAUAUUAUGUCGUUGAUGCUCGAUAUGCACAUACGCCCGGGUUUAUGGCCCCCUACCGAGGUGUAUAAUAUCAUCUGAAUGAGUUCCGUACUUGAAGGAAGCCCGCAAAUAAAAAAGAACUUUUCAAUUAUCGCCAUGCCUAGUUGUGAAAUGUCAUAGAGCGGUCUUUUGGGAUUUAAAAGUCUGCUUCCCUAUUCUACGUACUCCUCCUCAGUUCAAGUUUAAAACACAAGUUAAAAUUGUUAUAGCUUGUUGUGUCCUUCAUAAUUUCAUCCGUGUUAGUGGUGAUGAUGGACUUGCUGAGGUAGUCGAGGAUAGUGGAGACAGUACGGAGGAUGCUACACCAUCCCCUGUAAAAAUAUCUACUGCGGAGGAAGGAAGAGCUUUAUCUCUGGUGACAGACCGCAGUCGGGAAGAGUGGGUGAGGAAGAGAGACGAGAUAACUGAGAGAAUGUGGAAUGACAGUCUUCCACGUACCAGACAACGUAUUUAGUUUUCAUUGGUUUUGUACUCAUCUACUAUGUUUUUAGCAGGAAUAUUUGCAUACUUAUUUACUUUUACUGUGAAUUUUUUUGAUAGGAUGGCUUAUAUAAUCUUCUUAUGAAUUUUCAUGAAUUAA